CCCUUAGAUGUUCUGGGCCGCACGCGCGCUACACUGUUCGACGCAGCGAGUCUUAACCUUGACCGAAAGGUUUGGGUAAUCUUCAGCAAAGUCGAACGUGAUGGGGAUCGAUCAUUGCAAUUAUUGAUCGUGAACGAGGAAUUCCUAGUAAGUGCAAGUCAUCAGCUUGCGCUGAUUACGUCCCUGCCCUUUGUACACACCGCCCGUCGCUACUACCGAUUGGAUGGUUUAGUGAGAUCUCUGGAUUGACGCUGGCUAGGGGGCGACCCUUGGCCAGACUGCUCGAGAAACUGCUCAAACUUGAUCAUUUAGAGGAAGUAAAAGUCGUAACA
rnacentral:rRNA from 1 species